UACAGAGGUCUCAAGCGUUGUUCGGAUUCAUUGGGCGUAAAGGGUGUGUAGGUGGCGCCGUAAGUCGGGUGUGAAAUUUCGAGGCUUAACCUCGAAACUGCAUUCGAUACUGCGGUGCUUGAGGACUGGAGAGGAGACUGGAAUUCAUGGUGUAGCAGUGAAAUGCGUAGAUAUCGGGAGGAACACCAGUGGCGAAGGCGACUUCCUGGCCUGUUCUUGACGCUGAGGCGCGAAAAGCUAGGGGAGCAAACAGGG
rnacentral:rRNA from 1 species